rnacentral:rRNA from 1 species
AGUGAACGCUGGCGGUAGGCCUAACACAUGCAAGUCGAACGGCAGCACAGUAAGAGCUUGCUCUUACGGGUGGCGAGUGGCGGACGGGUGAGGAAUACAUCGGAAUCUACUUUUUCGGGGGGGAUAAGGUAGGGAAACUUACGCUAAUACGGCAUACGACCUACGGGUGAAAGCAGGGGAUCUUCGGACCUUGCGGGAUUGAAUGAGCCGAUGUCGGAUUAGCUAGUUGGCGGGGUAAAGGCCCACCAAGGCGACGAUCCGUAGCUGGUCUGAGAGGAUGAUCAGCCACACUGGAACUGAGACACGGUCCAGACUCCUACGGGAGGCAGCAGUGGGGAAUAUUGGACAAUGGGCGCAAGCCUGAUCCAGCCAUACCGCGUGGGUGAAGAAGGCCUUCGGGUUGUAAAGCCCUUUUGUUGGGAAAGAAAAGCAGCAGGUUAAUACCCCGCUGUUCUGACGGUACCCAAAGAAUAAGCACCGGCUAACUUCGUG